GUCUACAGCCAUGCCACUCUGAAUGUGCCCGAUCUCAUCUGAUCUUGGAAGCUCAGCAGGGUAGGGCCUGAUUAGUACUUGGAUGGGAGACCACCUAGGAAUACUGGGUACUGUAGAUG
rnacentral:rRNA from 1 species